CCAAUGAUCAAAUCUUUGUUACUAUGACAUAUGUCAAUGUUUCUUUCACUUUUGUCAAGGUUCUCGGAUUGAAAUACCAUUUUUCCAAACUCCAAAUCCAAUCUCCACUGUUAGAAUGAAGAUCAAUGCGUCCCAAAUGUGCUCCUAAAAUUGCAACUCAAUCGGACCACGAAUUGACCUCGAUCAAAGCUAAUGAUCAAAACAGUUCGGAGAGAAAAGCCUACCAAAACAAAGGUUCUAUUUUUGGCCGAAAGAUGACUUUUCAAAACUCUAAAUCCGAUCUUCACCGUUAAAAUUGAAGAUUAAUGAGUUGUGAACCUCUCCUCCAAAUUUCAGCUCGAUCAGACCAUGGACAAAGUGGCAUCGUACCUUUGAUGAAAUCUGGGUAUGAUGUAAAAAACCUGCGUUUUUCUCUCUUCUCCUCUAUCUCUCUAAUGACUGUCGGAAACUCCAAAUCCAAUCUCCACCGUUCAUAUUGAAGAUACAUGAGCCACGAACCUCUCCUCCAAAUUUCAACUCGAUCCGACCACGGACGAAGCGGGAUCGGACAUUUGAUGAAAUCUUGGUAUGAUGAGAAAAACCUACGUUUUUCUCUCUUCUCCUCUUUCUUUCUAAUGACUUUCCAAAACUCCAAAUCCGAUCCUCACCGUUCAGAUUGAAGAUGAAUGAGUCAUAAAACUUUUCUCCAAAUUUUAGCUCGAUCGGACCACGGACGAAGUGGGAUCAGACCUUUGAUGUAAUCUGGGCAAGAUGGAAAAAAACCUGCAUUUUUCUCUUCUCUUCUUUCUCUCCAAGAACGGUGGCUCUCCCCCUUCUUCUCCCUUCUUUCUUGUCUUCCAAAAGUUAGGGUUUUCAAUGGAGAGUGAAAAUUUAGGGUUUUCAGUAAAGAAAAUGGCAAAGGCUUGUUGAAGUAUGAAAUAU
rnacentral:lncRNA from 1 species